UGGGGAAUAUUGCACAAUGGGCGCAAGCCUGAUGCAGCCAUGCCGCGUGUAUGAAGAAGGCCUUCGGGUUGUAAAGUACUUUCAGCGGGGAGGAAGGGAGUAAAGUUAAUACCUUUGCUCAUUGACGUUACCCGCAGAAGAAGCACCGGCUAACUCCGUGCCAGCAGCCGCGGUAAUACGGAGGGUGCAAGCGUUAAUCGGAAUUACUGGGCGUAAAGCGCACGCAGGCGGGUUGUUAAGUCAGAUGUGAAAUCCCCGGGCUCAACCUGGGAACUGCAUCUGAUACUGGCAAGCUUGAGUCUCGUAGAGGGGGGUAGAAUUCCAGGUGUAGCGAUGAAAUGCGUAGAGAUCUGGAGGAAUACCGGUGGCGAAGGCGGCCCCCUGGACGAAGACUGACGCUCAGGUGCGAAAGCGUGGGGAGCAAACAGG
rnacentral:rRNA from 1 species